GGGAUAGCAGGAUGAGAAGCAAGUCAUGGGUGUCCUUGCUGCAAUGUUCUGGGUUCCUGUGGUUUUGUUCCUGGAGACACUUCUCUCAGGUGAGGUUACUUCAGCGAGACAGAGAAGAGUUGUAUCAGUUCUCACUCAGGUGGUCAGGUAGGAAAAGGAGAGAAAUUCAGUUUUGUUUGUUUUGUAAUGAUGAACUACCUAACGGACACUUCUCAAACCGAUAGACAGCUAUCUUUUGAAAGGCACGCUUCUCUGAUUUGUGCAACGCAGUUCCGCAGCCAAAGAACACAUGUACCAAGCUGCAUAUAUUUGGGAGAACUGUAUAUCAAAAUAUUGACAAAAAUAACAUGAAAAAAAUGCAUCAUGUAUUUGUCCAUGUUAGGCAAAACCAUGUACAAAAAUGUUCAUAUCGAGAGAAAUUAAAAUGGUGGUGAAUUGAAUUUUUGCAAAGAUUACACACACACACACACACACACACACACACACAACAGCUAAUUGUUUUCACAAUAUCUUUUCUUAAAUAUGAAAUUGCUGUGGAAAUGUGGAGAUCUGAAUUUAAGAAAAGAAAGGCAGAAAGAAAAGUGACCGAUGAGUCCAUCUCCAGUGGUCAGUAACAUUCCCUAUUAUUUUCUUGCAGGUUCAGAGUCUCAGGUUAUUGUUGUGACUCAACCAGCCUCAAUGUCCGUAUCCCUGGGAUCAACAGUGAAGCUCGCAUGUGCUGUGAGCAGCGAUUUAAAAAUCAGCAGCGAGAGGGUGAGAUGGUAUCAGCAGAAAACGGGUACCCCACGCCUUCUCUAUCAUUAUUACACCAGUAGUGACCAGGGCAGGGGCUCUGGGGUCCCAGAGAGAUUCAGUGUCUCCCCUGAUUCCUCCAAGAACCUCUGGAAUCUAGUGAUCACUGGAGUUCAAGCUGAAGACGAGGCCAGUUAUUACUGCUGUAUAUGGGAUGGCAGGCCA